GGCUUUUUGAAAGAUAGUUAAAGUUUAUUACAAUAUUUUGUAUUAGGUCAAGAGCAGAGAUAGAGCAUGAAGCGCUGAUUGAUGGAAACCUGGCUACUGAAGCGAACCUCAUCAUCUUGGACACAUUAGAGAUUGUUGUUCAGACUGUUUCUGUAACAGAAUCCAAAGAGAGCAUUCUGGGUGGGGUGCUGAAAGUGCUACUCCAGAGCAUGGCCUGCAACCAAAGUGCAGUGUAUCUGCAGCACUGCUUUGCCACGCAGAGAGCCCUGGUCUCAAAGUUUCCUGAGCUCCUGUUUGAGGAAGAGACAGAGCAGUGUGCUGAUCUGUGCCUCCGGCUUCUCCGACAUUGCAGCAGCAGCAUCAGUACCAUACGCUCACAUGCUAGUGCCUCCCUUUACCUCCUCAUGAGGCAAAACUUUGAGAUUGGGAAUGUAAGUGUUCUGCCAUGAAAAUAUCU